GGAAAUUUUCAUUUAGAUCAAGAAACAACUUAAUUAGACGUUAAUCGCGGAAAAGCUAAAGUAGCGGAAUAAACUUCAGUUUCGUGUUUCUGACUGUUUCUAUCUCGGUAAGUUCGUAAGUUAGUUUAAUAGUUAAUUGAUUAAUGUUUCAUAAUUAAAUUCUUAUCCAUAUAUGAUUGGUUCAUCAAAUUCAUUGGAUUGAGUAAUGAGAAAGACCAUGAUUGAAAG
rnacentral:lncRNA from 1 species